rnacentral:sRNA from 26 species
GUACCUUCGAUAACGAAUAAACAUCUCUUAAAAGUAUGUGUAAAACGCUGCAUGAUACAAACGAAGGUAAAAAUUUGACUCCCUUUAGUAGUGGACCCGUACGUUAAUCGUGCGGGUCGUUUUU